CUUUCUACUUCUGGCAAGUUCUCACAAUUUCAUCGACUGGGUAUUUCUGACUUGAGACUUGUUAAUGCCAACUUCGGAUUCUGAGACCUCAAGGGAAUCAGUGUCCCAAGGGGCAGAUGAUACUGUAUAUGUGACUCUGGGAAAAGAUGUUGAACAACACAAGUUAACUUUGUUAUGGGCAUUAGAGAAUUUUCCUGGCAAGAAAAUUUGCAUUCUGCAUGUUCAUCAGCCUUCAAAAAUGAUCCCCUGCGUUGGCGGAAAAUUCCUUGCUGACAGACUUGAGCAACAAGAACUCAGAGAAUUCCAAGAACUUGAAAGGAAGAUUGUGCGCGCAGGAUCCUUGAGUAUUACCUUCUCUUGUGUAACCAAGUUGAAGUCCAAGCAGAAAAGCUAUUUAUUGAAAUGGAUGAUAUAGGGAAAGGGAUUGUGGAGCUCGUAUACCAGCAUGAUAUCAAAAAGCUUGUUAUGGGAGCAGCAGCUGACAAACACUAUUCAGAGGACAUGAUGGAUCUCAAGUCCAGGAAGGCCAAAUAUGUCCAGCAGCGUGUUCCUCUUAGCUGUCAAGUUUGGUAUGUUUGCAAGGGAUACCUCAUACGCACAGGGGAAGGUGAAUUUACAUGCCCUUCUGCUAAUGUGUUUGGUGGCUUUGAUUCUGUCACAUCGAAGAGAACUGAGGAGACUGGACUGGAGUUAGAAUUAUGUGAAGAAUCUCAAUCAGAGGAAGAUAGUCAUUUACAUAAUCUUGAUGCAUUGGAGGAAAGUAGUGCUUAUCAGCUUUAUGAUCAAAUGGAGCAAGCUUUGAUGGAGGCUGAAAAGUUUAAGCGAGAAGCAUUUGAUGAGUCAAUCAAGCGAGGGGAAGCUGAAAAGACUGCCAUUAAGGCUAUUCGCCGGGCUAAAGCGGUAGAAAGCUUUUAUGCUAAGGAGUUGAAGCUCAGGAAAGAAUCUGAGGAAGCACUAAUGAAAGAAAAAGAAGACCAUCAGAGGACAAAAAACCGGUGGGAUGAAGAUCGUUUGAUUACCAUGGAUCAAAGACUAUUACAACAGAUCCAUGCUUCAAAUUUUGAUAACAAGAUAAAAGAAUUGAACGAUGAAAUACUUUCUGCUGUGGAGCAGUGCAAAGAAUAUAAGAAAGAAAGAGAUGAGUUGCAACUAGAGCGUGACAUGGUUCUUAAUGUAGCUGAGGAGCUUUCAAAAAUGCAGGCAGGGGAUGUUGAGACUAGCAUAGCUCUUAAAAUAGCUGAAGAGCUUUCAAAAAUGCAGGCCGGGGAUGCCUCAAGCAUUCAUAUGUGUCAGUUUUUUUCUGUCUUCUCUUUGUCAGAAAUUAAGGAGGCAACUCGCAACUUUGACCCAUCACUGAAGAUUGGGGAAGGGGGAUAUGGAAACAUUUAUAAAGGUUUCCUUCGUCACACCCCAGUGGCUAUAAAGGCGUUGAACCCAGAUAGCAUGCAAGGGCCUUUGGAGUUUAAACAGGAGGUUGAAAUAUUGAGUAAAUUGAGGCAUCCAAACCUGGUCAUUCUCAUUGGAGCCUGCUUGGAAGCUUUUGCUCUAAUCUAUGAAUAUUUACCAAAUGGAAGCCUUGAAGACCGACUAAGCUGCAAGGACAACACUUCACCUUUGCCUUGGCAAGCUCGGAUAUGCAUUGCAACUGAGUUAUGCUCUGUUCUCAUAUUUCUUCAUUCCAGUAACCCUCACAGCAUUGUACAUGGAGAUCUAAAACCUGGAAACAUUCUUCUUGAUGCUAACCUUGCAUGCAAACUCAG
rnacentral:misc_RNA from 1 species